AGAUAAUAUAAAACAAUCCUUCAUAUAUCCUCAAUGAUAUGGUUUGAGAGUCUCUACCGGGUUACCGUAAACAACCUGACUAUGAAGGCAGUGUGUCUUAUA
rfam:Bacillus gaemokensis strain JCM 15801 contig54, whole genome shotgun sequence.